rnacentral:rRNA from 1 species
UAUAACGGAGAGUUUGAUCCUGGCUCAGAACGAACGCUGGCGGCGCGUUUUAAGCAUGCAAGUCGAGC